UCGCUCCCGGCCCCCGAGGCCCACAUGUCUCCUCUCCGCGCCCCCCCCGCCGGCCGGCCUGGGGCAGCGGUUCCGCUUGGCAGCCUCGCAACAUGCAGAGCCCAACGCCCGCUGGACGGACGGACGGAGCCCCGGAUGGACGGACGGAUCAGCGGACGCAGGCACAGGAAGAGAGAUGAGGAAAGAUAAGCUCAGUUUUCCGGCCAGAUGAAGAACCCUGCGCGGGAGUCUCCCCACCCUCCCCGACAAGCUCUGCCCCUGCUCCGAGUGGGCAGAGGGGAGGGGUGUACCCGCUUGCCCCCCCACACACACCCAUGCAAGCACACACACGUGCACAUGUGCAC